rnacentral:rRNA from 1 species
GACGAACGCUGGCGGCGUGCUUAACACAUGCAAGUCGAACGGAAAGGCCUGCUUUUCCUUGUGGAUUGCGGGUACUAGAGUGGCGAACGGGCGUGUAAAACGUGCGUGAUAUGGCCGCAACAUGGGUAUAAGCCUGGGAUAAUAGGGCUAAUUACCGAUUGGACCGUAGGGUUGUGUCAGAAGUUGCAAUCGAUUCUCUACUGGUUGGGGAUGGGUUCGCUGCCUAUGAGGUUGUGGGUGGGGUAAUGGCCGACCAAGGCGGCGACGGGCAGUCGGGGGGAGAGGGUGGACGGCCACAUUGGGACUGGGAUACGGCCCAGAGUGCUACGGGAGGCAGGAGUGGGGAGUAAUGGACGAUAGGCGGAAGCCUGAUGCAGGGACGAGGCGUGGGGGAUGACGGCUUGUGGGUUGUAAUCGCCUUAGGACCGCGAGGAAGCCACUUGAAUGGAAGGGUGGUGACGGUAGUGUAAGAAGAAGCACCGGCUAACUACGUG